rnacentral:rRNA from 1 species
UGAGGAAUAUUGGACAAUGGAUGGAAAUCUGAUCCUGCCAUGCCGCGUGCAGGAAGACGGCCCUAUGGGUUGUAAACUGCUUUUGUAUGGGAGCAAUAAGGACUACGUGUAGUUUGAUGAGAGUACCAUACGAAUAAGCAUCGGCUAACUCCGUGCCAGCAGCCGCGGUAAUACGGAGGAUGCGAGCGUUUUCCGGAUUUAUUGGGUUUAAAGGGUGCGUAGGCGGCGAUAUAAGUCAGUGGUGAAAUAUUUCGGCUUAACCGAGAGACUGCCAUUGAUACUGUGUUGCUAGAAUAUGGUUGCUGUGAGUGGAAUGUGGGGUGUAGCGGUGAAAUGCUUAGAUAUCACACAGAAUAUCGAUUGCGAAGGCAGCUCGCAAAGCCAUUAUUGACGCUGAGGCACGAAAGUGUGGGGAUCAAACA